rnacentral:rRNA from 1 species
UACGUAGGGUGCAAGCGUUGUCCGGAAUUAUUGGGCGUAAAGAGCUCGUAGGCGGUUUGUCGCGUCGGCCGUGAAAACCUGGGGCUUAACUCCGGGCCUGCAGCCGAUACGGGCAAGCUAGAAUUCGGUAGGGGAGACUGGAAUUCCUGGUGUAGCGGUGAAAUGCGCAGAUAUCAGGAGGAACACCGGUGGCGAAGGCGGGUCUCUGGACCGAUAUUGACGCUGAGGAGCGAAAGCGUGGGGAGCAAACAGG